CUCACCAUCUGCUUCCACUAUUGUAAACCUGUGAUUAGCAAUGGUGAAGAAGCUCUCCAUGUUUAUGCCUGCGUUAAUCAGCCUGAGCAGUGAAUCGUCGUAUUAUACGGGGUCCUGUUGGUAACUGUAACAAUAACUCUGUCAUCUUCUUGAGCUCUGAUCGCUGGACCAGGGAACUUCCCAUUGAUCGUCACAAUCUCAUUGGUCUGACAUAGCCUGAAUCUAGUAGCACUGCUCCUCCCCGCAACAGUCAUCACGUGAAGAAGGAACAAGAGAGGGAUAAGAUGGAGAAAGGACGGAAUGGCUGGAUUGGUCAUCUUCAUGAAAGAGAGAGAUUUAAGGUGAAAGCUACCAAUUCUGCAAACGGUACUUAUAAGGUGUUGGGAGGGCGUGAUUUGCUCCUUGACCCCAGCGUGAGAAGAAAGGAUUUGGGCAUCCACACGGGUUUCUUCCUUUCCAAUUCAGUAAAGAAAAUACAUUUCGAUGCACCAAACUCUCUGAGAAAACGCCAACACAGACAGAAACCUCUGAUACCCACUUCUCCAAGCUCUGUGGAACUGAACUCGGUACGCAUUUUCUGCUCUGUCUCGUUCAUCAAUCUCAUUGAAAACUAGAUUUGGUUUCGAGAUUUGGCUUGCCUGGUGUAUUGAUUGUUACGCAAGGCGCAUGAUUCGCCAUCAUUAGGGAGCGUUGAGUCAUUUAUAGAGUGAAAAAAAAAAUUAGAAGGGAAAAAAGGAUUUUCCUUUCCAUUACA